UACAGAGGUCCCAAGCGUUGUUCGGAUUCAUUGGGCGUAAAGGGUGCGUAGGUGGCGCGCUAAGUCAGGUGUGAAAUUUCGGAGCUUAACUCCGAAACUGCAUUUGAUACUGGCGUGCUUGAGGACUGGAGAGGAGACUGGAAUUUACGGUGUAGCAGUGAAAUGCGUAGAGAUCGUAAGGAAGACCAGUGGCGAAGGCGGGUCGUCUGGACAGUUCCUGACACUGAGGCACGAAGGCCAGGGGAGCAAACGGG
rnacentral:rRNA from 1 species